GUGGGGAAUCUUCCGCAAUGGACGAAAGUCUGACGGAGCAACGCCGCGUGAGUGAUGAAGGUCUUCGGAUUGUAAAGCUCUGUUAAUCGGGACGAAAGAGCCUAGUGUGAAUAAUGCUAGGAAGUGACGGUACCGGAAUAGAAAGCCACGGCUAACUACGUGCCAGCAGCCGCGGUAAUACGUAGGUGGCAAGCGUUGUCCGGAAUUAUUGGGCGUAAAGCGAGCGCAGGCGGAUCUGUCAGUCUGUCUUAAAAGUUCGGGGCUUAACCCCGUGAUGGGAUGGAAACUACAGAUCUAGAGUAUCGGAGAGGAAAGUGGAAUUCCUAGUGUAGCGGUGAAAUGCGUAGAUAUUAGGAAGAACACCAGUGGCGAAGGCGACUUUCUGGACGAAAACUGACGCUGAGGCGCGAAAGCCAGGGGAGCGAACGGGAUUAGAUACCCUUGUAGUCC
rnacentral:rRNA from 1 species